rnacentral:rRNA from 1 species
GACGAACGCUGGCGGCGUGCCUAAUACAUGCAAGUAGAACGCUGAAGGGAGAGCUUGCUCUUCUGGAUGAGUUGCGAACGGGUGAGUAACGCGUAGGUAACCUGCCUGGUAGCGGGGGAUAACUAUUGGAAACGAUAGCUAAUACCGCAUAACAUUGACUAUUGCAUGAUAGUCAGUUGAAAGGUGCAAAUGCACCACUACCAGAUGGACCUGCGUUGUAUUAGCUAGUUGGUGGGGUAACGGCUCACCAAGGCGACGAUACAUAGCCGACCUGAGAGGGUGAUCGGCCACACUGGGACUGAGACACGGCCCAGACUCCUACGGGAGGCAGCAGUAGGGAAUCUUCGGCAAUGGACGGAAGUCUGACCGAGCAACGCCGCGUGAGUGAAGAAGGUUUUCGGAUCGUAAAGCUCUGUUGUAAGAGAAGAACGAGUG